UCUGAAUGUACCAGUUUAUGAGUUCCUCCACCUGCUGAAGGACAUCUUGGUUGCUUCCAGGUUUUAGUGAUUACGAACAAAGCCUCCAUAGACACCAGCGUGUACAUUUUUGUGUGGACGUAAGUUUCCAAGUCCUUUGGGUACAUCCUGAUGGAAUAGUUUGGUUCACGGCCAUUCUGCUUCCUGGUUCAUGACCCAGCAGGAAGGACCUGGAGAGGAGACACACAGUCAAGGGCAGGACCAGAGGUGAUGUGGAUCUGGGCACCGACAGACAACUGGGACUUGAAAAGGCUUGAUGCCUCACGGUUGCAAGAUGGCUGCUGCAGCUCCAAGCGUCUUGUCCUUAACACCAGCAUGUUCAAGGCAAGAAGAGGGGAGUGGCUGGUGUUAAGGAGCUUUCCUCUCAGCUUUUCUCAGAAGCCCCCAAGCUGACUUCUCCUUGAAGCUCAUUGGCCAGAACUCAGACAUAGGAUCUUUGCAGAUAUAACUGGAGAAGAUGAGAUCUUACUGGAUCAGGGUGGGCUCCAAAUCCAAUGACUGGCAUCCUAAUAAGAGGAGAGGAUACAGAAAGAAGACUCUGUGAAGUCAGAGGCUGCGAUUAGAGGGGUACAGCUACAAGCCAAGGACACUAAGGACUGCUGGCAGCCCCCUGAAGUGAAGAGAGAGCCUGGGAACAGCCUCCCCCCGGGAGCCUCUGGAAGGGACCAGCCCUGACCACACCUGGACUUCAGACUCCAGCCUCGCGAACUGUGAGAGAAUGAAUUUCCGUUGUUUUAAGCCUCCCAAUUUGUGGCACUUUACUGAGGCAACCCUAGCAAAUUAACACAAUGGUCAAGGACAGUAAUGUACGGGGCAGAAUCCAGGGCAAGAGAUGGCGCGGGAGACAGAGCCAAGAAAGUCUUGGUCCUUUCCCCACUCGCCAGAAAAACGAGUCACUUUUGGGAUUGGAGGAGGAGCCAGGAACACGACCCCCGUGGAGCUCAUUUACUCAGAGAUAAGAAGCGAGAUGAGACAAGUCUCCCCCAACACUGCCACCAAUAGCCAUCACCCCAGUGGAGCGAAGCCUUAAUGCAGUCUUCGUUCUGACUCAACUAGAGUCCUUACCUAGUGAACUUUCAUUGUUUGCUCUUUCUCUACUCCUCAGAAAAAUAAGCAAGCUUAUCUCAAGUACUUAAUCAAAACAUAACCAUGGCCUGGGAGCAGAGUGGUGGUCAUAACAACACGUGGAUGUUUUUAUUCACAGAUUCACAUGUACACUGUUGGUCUCAAGAACAGUGACCACAGCUGUUCAAAAUGGCAUAGGUUCCAGGGGCUCAAAUUACUCGGGCAGGAAAAACCACUAAUAAAGGCUGUAUUUUCAACUUCUGGUCUGGGUAUGACUUUGCAAAUAAGAACAUGCAAUCAAGCAGAACAUAUAUAUAUUUACCUUGAAAAUUGUAGUUAAUC